UACGGGGGGGGCAAGCGUUGUUCGGAAUUACUGGGCGUAAAGGGCGCGUAGGUGGCCAACUAAGUCAGACGUGAAAUCCCUCGGCUUAACCGGGGAACUGCGUCUGAUACUGGAUGGCUUGAGUUUGGGAGAGGGACGCGGAAUUCCAAGUGUAGCGGUGAAAUGCGUAGAUAUCUGGAGGAACACCGGUGGCGAAGGCGGCGUCCUGGACCAAUACUGACACUGAAACGCGAAAGCCAGGGGAGCAAACGGG
rnacentral:rRNA from 1 species